rnacentral:tRNA from 1 species
GGCAUAGUUUAAAGGUAGAACUAAGGUCUCCAAAACCUUCAGUGUGGGUUCGAUUCCCAUCACUCGCCU